UACGUAGGGGGCAAGCGUUGUUCGGAGUUACUGGGCGUAAAGGGUGUGUAGGCGGUCUUCUAAGUUUGGUGUGAAAUCUCCCGGCUCAACUGGGAGGGUGCGCCGAAAACUGGGAGGCUAGAGUACUGGAUGGGAGAGUGGAAUUCCUGGUGUAGCGGUGAAAUGCGUAGAUAUCAGGAGGAACACCGGUGGUGUAGACGGCUCUCUGGACAGUAACUGACGCUGAGACACGAAAGCGUGGGUAGCAAACAGG
rnacentral:rRNA from 1 species